ensembl:snRNA U2 U2 spliceosomal RNA
AUCGCUUCUCGGCCUUUUGGCUAAGAUCAAGUGUAUUUCUAGUCUUAUUGCAUAGAAAUUAAUUUUAAUGAUUUGUUAUUCUCUACCUCCUUUUUAAAAUUUUAUUUGAAUGUUUAUUCAUUUUUGAGAGAGCGAGCGAGCAGGGUAGGGGCAAGAGAGAGCAAGGGACAGAGGAUCUGAAGCGGGCUCUGUGCUCUCAGCAGCA